rnacentral:rRNA from 1 species
UACGGAGGGUGCAAGCGUUUAUCCGGAUUCACUGGGUUUAAAGGGUGCGUAGGUGGGUUGGUAAGUCAGUGGUGAAAUCCCCGAGCUUAACUUGGGAACUGCCAUUGAUACUAUCAGUCUUGAAUACCGUGGAGGUCAGCGGAAUAUGUCAUGUAGCGGUGAAAUGCUUAGAUAUGACAUAGAACACCAAUUGCGAAGGCAGCUGGCUACACGAAUAUUGACACUCAGGCACGAAAGCGUGGGGAUCAAACAGGA